rnacentral:lncRNA from 1 species
CAGAAUGAAGACUCCCGGAGCAAUUGCCUUACUCUUCUUUAUACUCCCAGAGAACAAAAUAGUAUUGCUGAUGCCUUUGAAUCACCGGGUUUCAUUAGUUCUCUGAUACACACUGAUCUUGCAAGCUGUGUGCUUGCUUCUUGUAUAGUUUCUCGGGCUGUUGUACCCCUUUUCCAUAAAUAAAAUAACGUUAUUAACAAAAAUAAAUAAAUAAACGCAAAUGUCAUUGGAAAAAAUAUGUAAAGGUUGUCAAGAUGAUACAAAAUCUGAUAGAAUCAUAGAACACUAUCACAAGUUUGGUACAGAUCCAUUCUAGCCGAUCUAUACUGAUAUUAAUUAGUUUUUUUUUUUUGUAUUUUGUUUAUAACUCUUACCCAAAAAAAUAAUAUUAUUCUAUAUAAAUUUAUGACAUUUAUAGGAUUUCAGGUUUCGUAUUCAUAGUACCAUGACCGUAAUGUUUGAUUUGGUUCAGCAUUAUGAUAAACAUAUAAUAUAUAUGAUAUUGCAUAACUUUAUGAGUUUGAUCGAAAUAAAAUAUAAUUCUUUAAAAAAAUUAAAAGUUGUUAUAAGUAGUUAUAUAUAUUUUUUGCAAUGGUUUGAAUAUAUUGGGAUAGGGAAUGGCAAAAGCAAGAAUGGGAAAACUAUAGAAAAUUUAAACUAAGGGAUAAACCAAAAUAAUAAUAAUUUAAGCUUAACCAUGGUCAAUACAAAAUCUUCAUAAACAACCCGUGGGUAUAACACAGAUUGUGGGUAAUUAACCUCACAAUUCAAUAAACCUUAAUUAAUUUCAUCUUUUUUAUAACGUUUGAAGAAACUGCAGCUAGGUAUGAUUUUUUUUUUUUUCUUAUAGUCAUAGAGUAAAGGCAAAGAAAUGCAGCAUUUGUGUCUUAAAGACCUGGAAGACAGUCGCAUCCGUUCUUAUCCAGAAACAUGAUAGAUGAGUCUAAUGUGGCAAUAUUUAAUUUUGCAUUGAAAUAAACUUGAAAAAAUGUAUUAAACUAGUCAUAACAAAGAAAAAAAAUGACCAGUUACAACCUUAAAGUUUAAAUUAUAAAAGCUCCAAUUAUACGUACCAGCCUAUCACAAAUCUAAAAUAGAUAGAAUAGCAAAAUACAAAAGCGCUACUUUUUGUCCUGCACUAUGAACAUUGAAUGGCUUAUGGCUGGCAUUUGUUGUGGUGGUGAGGCUGAAAGUUGAAACUCUAGGUGCAAUUGAGCCUAGUUGAGACAACCAUUUGGUUCACUGCCCUUACUUGUAACAAAAAAUCAUCACCUUCAAUAACCUACCACCAUCCUCGUCACUAGCCAGUUUCAUGUAUCAUCGAAAUCGAAAACUAAAACUAGAACAACUACACCACCCUCAAACAGACAGAUUCUAGCGUGCAAGACCUGAGGUGCAAAAAGAAUUUUAGGCCAUUGGAUAUAGGAGCAAAUUGGUUAAUGGUAGAGAUUUUGCACCGUGCAAGACCUGAGAUGGUUUUGCACGCUAGAAUCCGCCCCCUCAAACAUCCUUCACCACCGACUCUAUUUAUCCUGGUCAUAGGCUCAUAGCCCCAGCCACCUAUAUAAACAGAAGAGUUUUAUGUUUUGUCUUUCUAUUGUCCAUUUAUGACUCUAAAAU